rnacentral:rRNA from 1 species
UUGCUGAGUGGCGGACGGGUGAGUAACGCGUGGAUACCUGCCUCACACUGGGGGAUAACAGUUAGAAAUGACUGCUAAUACCGCAUAAGGCCGCAUGGCAAAAACUCCGGUGGUGUGAGAUGGAUCCGCGUCUGAUUAGCCAGUUGGCGGGGUAACGGCCCACCAAAGCGACGAUCAGUAGCCGACCUGAGAGGGUGACCGGCCACAUUGAGACUGAGACACGGCCCAAACUCCUACGGGAGGCAGCAGUGGGGAAUAUUGCACAAUGGGCGAAAGCCUGAUGCAGCGACACCGCGUGAGUGAAGAAGUAUUUCGGUAUGUAAAGCUCUAUCAGCAGGGAAGAAAAUGACGGUACCUGACUAAGAAGCCCCGGCUAACUACGUGCCA